AUACCAUAUGAUGAGAAUAACUUUUUAUUUCUCAUGACGGUCAUCUGAGACUCUCUUUUUGGUGUCUAGAUUGAUGCUACUUAUUUUUCUCUGAUGGUAU